GAUGAAGAACGAAGCGAAAUGCGAUAAGUAAUGCGAAUUGCAGAAUUCAGUGAGUCAUCGAAUCUUUGAACGCACAUUGCGCCCUGUGGUAUUCCGCAGGGCAUGCCUGUUCGAGCGUCACUUCAACCCUCAAGCUCUGCUUGGUGUUGGGCCACGCCCUCGCGGCCGGCCCCAAAGCCAGUGGCGGCGCCGUCCGGCUCUAAGCGUAGUACAUCUCUCGCUCUAGGGCCCGGCGGCUGCCUGCCAGAACCCCAAACUCUUAUGGUUGACCUCGGAUCAGGUAGGGAUACCCGCUGAACUUAAGCAUAUCAAUAAGCGGAGGA
rnacentral:misc_RNA from 1 species